rnacentral:rRNA from 1 species
CGGCAACAGCUCAAAUUUGAAAUCUGGCUCCUUCGGGGCCCGAGUUGUAAUUUGCAGAGGAUGCCUCGGGUACGUGUUCCUACUGAGUUCCCUGGAACGGGACGCCAUAGAGGGUGAGAGCCCCGUCUAGUAGGUAACGCAGCCCGUGUGAGGCUCCCUCGAC